UACGUAGGGUGCAAGCGUUAAUCGGAAUUACUGGGCGUAAAGCGUGCGCAGGCGGUGAUGUAAGACAGGUGUGAAAUCCCCGGGCUUAACCUGGGAACUGCAUUUGUGACUGUAUGACUAGAGUACGGUAGAGAGGGGUGGAAUUCCUGGUGUAGCAGUGAAAUGCGUAGAUAUCAGGAGGAACAUCGAUGGCGAAGGCAGCUCGCUGGGACGUUAC
rnacentral:rRNA from 1 species